rnacentral:rRNA from 1 species
AUUGAACGCUGGCGGCAUGCUUUACACAUGCAAGUCGAACGGUAACAGGCCGCAAGGUGCUGACGAGUGGCGAACGGGUGAGUAAUGCAUCGGAACGUGCCCAGUCGUGGGGGAUAACGCAGCGAAAGCUGCGCUAAUACCGCAUACGAUCUAUGGAUGAAAGCGGGGGACCGUAAGGCCUCGCGCGAUUGGAGCGGCCGAUGUCAGAUUAGGUAGGUGGUGGGGUAAAGGCUCACCAAGCCAACGAUCUGUAGCUGGUCUGAGAGGACGACCCGCCACACUGGGACUGAGACACGGCCCAGACUCCUACGGGAGGCAGCAGUGGGGAAUUUUGGACAAUGGGCGCAAGCCUGAUCCAGCAAUGCCGCGUGCAGGAAGAAGGCCUUCGGGUUGUAAACUGCUUUUGUACGGAACGAAACGGUCCUGGUUAAUACCUGGGGCUAAUGACGGUACCGUAAGAAUAAGCACCGGCUAACUACGUGCCAGCCGCCGCAGUAAUAC